rnacentral:pre_miRNA from 1 species
AGUUAUGAUUUGCAGCAGUGGAUAUGUUUGUUUAUGGUCAUCUAGUUAUAUUCCAUCUGCUUCAUUUGGUUAUCAUGAUUAGAUGACCAUCAACAAACACAUUCAUGAAUCGUCAUU